UACGUAGGUGGCAAGCGUUGUCCGGAAUUAUUGGGCGUAAAGCGCGCGCAGGCGGUCCUUUAAGUCUGAUGUGAAAGCCCACGGCUCAACCGUGGAGGGUCAUUGGAAACUGGGAGACUUGAGUACAGAAGAGAAGAGUGGAAUUCCACGUGUAGCGGUGAAAUGCGUAGAGAUGUGGAGGAACACCAGUGGCGAAGGCGGCAUCCUGGACCGGCAUUGACGCUGAGGCGCGAAAGCCAGGGGAGCAAACGGG
rnacentral:rRNA from 1 species